rnacentral:rRNA from 1 species
AACGAACGCUGGCGGCAGGCCUAACACAUGCAAGUCGAGCGCCCCGCAAGGGGAGCGGCGGACGGGUGAGUAACGCGUGGGAACGUGCCCCUUUCUACGGAAUAGCCUCGGGAAACUGAGAGUAAUACCGCAUAAGCCCUACGGGGGAAAGAUUUAUCGGGAAGGGAUCGGCCCGCGUUGGAUUAGGUAGUUGGUGGGGUAAUGGCCUACCAAGCCGACGAUCCAUAGCUGGUUUGAGAGGAUGAUCAGCCACACUGGGACUGAGACACGGCCCAGACUCCUACGGGAGGCAGCAGUGGGGAAUUUUAGACAAUGGGCGCAAGCCUGAUCUAGCCAUGCCGCGUGAGCGAUGAAGGCCUUAGGGUUGUAAAGCUCUUUCGUGGGGGAAGAUAAUGACUGUACCCCAAGAAGAAGCCCCGGCUAACUCCGUGCCAGCCGCCGCCGUAA